rnacentral:rRNA from 1 species
UGGGGAAUAUUGGACAAUGGGCGCAAGCCUGAUCCAGCCAUGCCGCGUGAGUGAAGAAGGCCUUAGGGUUGUAAAACUCUUUCGCCGGGGAAGAUAAUGACGGUACCCGGAGAAGAAGCUCCGGCUAACUUCGUGCCAGCAGCCGCGGUAAUACGAAGGGAGCUAGCGUUGUUCGGAAUUACUGGGCGUAAAGCGCACGUAGGCGGACUUGUCAGUCAGGGGUGAAAUCCCAAGGCUCAACCUUGGAACUGCCUCCGAUACAGCAAGCCUAGAGAUCGGGAGAGGUGAGUGGAAUUCCUAGUGUAGAGGUGAAAUUCGUAGAUAUUAGGAAGAACACCAGUGGCGAAGGCGGCUCACUGGCCCGAUACUGACGCUGAGGUGCGAAAGCGUGGGGAGCAAACAGGAUUAGAUACCCCCGUAGUCCCUGAGCGGGCUGGCAAGGCGCAU